CAGCCGCCGCGGUAACACGUAGGUGGCAAGCGUUGUCCGGAAUUAUUGGGCGUAAAGGGCUCGCAGGCGGUUUCUUAAGUCUGAUGUGAAAGCCCCCGGCUCAACCGGGGAGGGUCAUUGGAAACUGGGAAACUUGAGUGCAGAAGAGGAGAGUGGAAUUCCACGUGUAGCGGUGAAAUGCGUAGAGAUGUGGAGGAACACCAGUGGCGAAGGCGACUCUCUGGUCUGUAACUGACGCUGAGGAGCGAAAGCGUGGGGAGCGAACAGGAUUAGAGACCCCGGUGGUCCCUGUCUCUUAUAU
rnacentral:rRNA from 1 species